UAGGCUUUGUCUCUUGAUCAAUGUUUAAUUGGUGGGGUGUUUACUUAGUGUAAACACUUAAUAAAUAUUUAUGAAUGAUCGUAGAGGUUUAUUCCGAACCUUAGUACUUGUACUCAAUAACUAAUAUAUUAUAUUAUUAAAUAUAUGAGUAUAGAUCAUGUGAAGUCUUAUUGUAUACUCACUCUCCCGAAGUUCCCGUAUUACCAUGAAUUGUUCCUGCGAUAUGGACCAAGGUCACGAAGACAUGAUGAUGGGGUCGCACCCUGGAGGCCGUGUAACUGCAUGCAGCGUUUGAUUUUUGAUCUUGGAAUAUCUAAUGGAGAUGAUGGUUAUAUUUAUUUCCCCUCUAGGCUCGGUACACUUGGUGGUUUUACGGGUUUAGUUUAUAUAUAUAUAUAUAUAUAUAUAUAUAUAUAUAUAUAUAUAAUAUAAGUAUGAGUGUAUGGCGGGUGUUGUGGAGAUGAUGUUUAAGAUAAAAUUCACAUCGAUGGAAUGAUAGGCUUUAUAUAUGCAUUCUUAUUAGUUAUGGAAUAUAUUUCCACUGCAUACAAAUGGAGUUGAUUGUUCGAGAUAUUACUAAUAUAUGUUGGGGUGCAGGACUAGGCUCACUGAAUAAACUAGUUACUAAUGACUCAUUUGUGAUGCAGGUAACCAGUAGACGGGAGACCUUACUCUAGGACGGGAAGGAACAUCAUUAGCCAGCGGUAGUUUUAUUAUCCUUGCAAAGUCAUUUUGAUAUAUCUUAUGUAUAAGAUUUGCAGACCAAAAACCUCGAAGUUAAAUUAUAACAAAUUUUGUAAGAUGCUUUUAAAUGAUAUAUAUAAAGAUUGUUUUUAAAGUAUAGGUUCCAUAUGAUAUUAGUCUUUGUCCGGACGAACUAACUAUCGGAUAUUUCUUUUUCGGGUUGAAAAGCUUAGAGUGAUAUUCGAUAGGAGCGUUGGUGUUCUUUGGUUGUUAGUCUAAGGUGAUCGGAGGUAUUCUGAGAACUUCGGAUAGACCAUCGAGGAACAUCGACCGUGUCAUUUACGGUUAUCUACGAUCGGGGGUGUCACACACCCACUUUAAGCUAACUCAGCCAAAACGUAUAAAGUAACUCACUCGCCCACUUUCAUUAUUAAUGGGACAUUUCCACUUGCUUGAUUGGACUGAGUUGUCGAUUAAUGGUGGCACGUGUGGAAAAUAUCGAUGUCUUUAUAAUAUCAAGACGAUUUAUACUUUAACUCCACCAACAAUAUGAGAAUAUCGAGGCUAAUUAUUAUUCCCUCCGCUUGCUUGAUUGGACUAAGUAUUUAAUUGAUGUUUUACAUAUCUGCACGUAAAUUAAGAAAUCUGAACGUUUUACAAUGCACGUAAAUUAACCUCUUUUCGCCUGGUGUUUAAUGCUAAUAUGACUUCAUAUUAUGUGACCAAAACUUAUCCUAAUUAAAGUAAUGAUAAUUCAGCCAUAAUUAAACAUAAACUGAGCUCUAAUUCAACUAAAAAUCAGCCAAAAGAAACAAUAAAUCAGCCGUUAUAAAACAAUAACUCAGCCAUAAUUAAUAACGCUGUUAUUAACUAUGCAUGAUGUUUGUUGAUGUUUGCAUGAUGUGUGUGCUUGAAAACAAUAACUCAGUCGUGAUAAAAAAAAGUAACUCAGCCGUAAUUAAACUAUAAAUCAGCCAAAAGAAACAAUAACUAAGCCUUCAUUACAUUAAUUUGUAGUCAGACAUACAUAAUGGCAUAGCAAAGAACUUAAAAAGAUUAGAUUCCGAUAGAUUACAUUUUUACCAAUUCCUUGUGUCCCUAAUAACGCUUAUCGGUUCAAAAUCACGUAAAAACGUGCCAAUCUCUUUGAUCCAGAAACAGCGCUCACACAUGUUGUCAUCCUUAGUCAUAUCAAUGUGCCACAAGCAGAGACAUUGUCUCUCCACAUGUGUUGCACAUUGGCAUCUGUAGAACGACGGAACAUAAGCUGAAACGAACACGACCCUAUUUUGGCGGAACUCGUCAGAGUGCCACAAACUCCAUCCCCAUUUCACAGAUCACACUAGUUUCCCUAUCCUCUGAACUGAUUCUCUUGGAAUACCAGCAAAAUACUGCCCAUCACAACAAAAUAUUGCUCGAGUCAUUGUGUGUGUAUACACAGCACGCUCAUAUCAUGCAUCUGCUGCACGCUUUAUGAGAGAAAGCCCUUCUUCUAUAAGGCCGAAUGAGAAGAAGAACUGUACACCCUUUAUAGAAAGUGUGUUUGGAUUUCCUUCAGCGUAGCAAGAUUUGAACAACGAAGAAGACAUAUUGAGUCCCCAGGGAACGGAUAACACAUCUUAAAAAUGGUAUACACCAAGCCGCUCUGCUAACGCCUUCAUCGACUUGGACGAUGCUUUGAGGCAAUAUAGAUCUUGGAAGGAGUUACGGGCCACACGCUCAACCACUAACGCCUGAAUUUCUUCAGGCAAUUCAAGAAGAGGGAAAUAUUUCAUUUACUGCAAAAUUGAUUUAGAGAGAGAGAGAGCAAUUAUGUAAAAAGAUGUAGAGUUGAACAUAUAACUGUUCGAGAAGUGCCGUAUUUCUUGACAGUAAAACAGUUUUCAAAUCGCGACAUUUCUUAUUUUGGGCGGGAAGUUAUUCCAUAACCCAGCCGUAAUACAAAUUCAUUCAAUAAAUCAGCCGUUUGAAAACAAAAACCCAGCCGUAAGUGACCAAAAACAUGAAAAUCCCUAAUCCAGCCGUAAUACAUUUACAUGAAAAAAAAAACACAGCCGUAAUACAAAACAUGAAAAUCCCUAAUCCAGCCGUAAUACCAAAAAUAUUUAAAAAAAAAACACAAAGGUAAUACAAAAAGAUGAAAAUCCCUACAACACUUGCUUACAUUGGACAAGUUUUCGCAUUAUGUCCACUCUGUCUACAUCGAGAACAUGUGUGUUCUUUCCUAGGACAUUUGUUUUGAAGUGCAACUUCUAAAGCUGUUGACGAAUAGACGGGGGCAAGCACAGUUGGUUAGCCAUGAUUUCUGGAACAGGUUGCGCUGAGUCAGCCGGUAUGACCGGUUCAGCGUAUGCGCUCACCAAAUAUGCACUGUUAUAGUAAGGACUGCACAGGGAUAUACGACAAACAUUGUUGUACUCUGCAGCUGCGAUUGCGUGUAUACAUGGUAAUUUCUCGCGUUCGAAACACCGACUUGUGCACUUUCGCUCUACCAAAUUAACAACAUUCAUAGACUCGCUAGAAGAUCCAUAUUUAACUUCAGUGUGAUGAUCAUCAAUCCUUUGAACUGUCAAAUAUCUGGCGGCAGUUACACGACCCUAUUAACAAAAAAUAAAUAAAUAUGAAACGACUGACUUAUUACAUAUUACAGCUGAUUUAAGAACUACAAAGGCUGACUUACGAAUUUUUGUAAUUUUAAAAACAGACAUAUUUUUACUGUUACGACUGACUUACAUGUAGUAGUGUCUCGACACCACGCAUAAGCAUCCUCUCUCCGUUCAGCAAACCAUCUUGUCAUCAUAACCCGUAUCGAUUCUAAUAUUCAAACAAUGUUUAGACCACUAGAAUUCGACAAUGCUCUGUUCAUUGAUUCCACUAUGUUUGUAGUCAUCAAAUUGUACCUCUCGCCCGGGAAAAGAACUCGCGUCCACAGUCGUACAUCAGCUCUUUGGAGGUAGCCGUGGAGUGCAGGAUUAAUCACUUCAAUCUCCUCGAAAAUCGUAGUAAAGUCAGACAUCCUAAAACAUCUCGCCGCUUUCUUCACCAGACGGAAUGCAUCUUUUCCUUUGUACCGUUCCAAUAUGUUCUUAUAUAAAUGGUAGGUGCAUAUUCCUUGAGCAGCUAAUGGAUACACAUUUCUAAUUGCUUUCCCUAUCGAGUUAUGCCUAUCCGAGAUAAUCGCAAGACCCUCGUCGUCAGGAAUCAGAAGUUUUAAUUGCGUAAAAAACCAAUGCCACGAAUCAUAAUUUUCUGUGUCAACGACUGCAAAGGCUAUUGGAAAAAUCUGAAAGUUACCAUCCUGAGCUAGUGAUGUGAGUAGCGUCCCUUUGUAUUUACCAUUGAGAAAUGUACGUAGACUACAACAACUUUGCGCAUGAAAGGAAACCCUUUUACGCUCGCACCAAAGGCAAGAAACACAUACAUGAAUCUUCCAAGCUCAUCGAUUUGAAGACACAUAAAUGUACUCGGAUUCGCCAUUCAUAUCAUGUAUAAGUAAGAAGGCAAGCUUUCAAACCCACACUCAGGUGUUCCCUCAUCGAUUUCCCUUGCGAAUUUCAGCGUCUGGUGUGAUUUUCAAUAAUCCAUCUGUUCACAUGAAAAAACGAUCCUCAUAACUCAGCCGCAUCAAAUUCAUAAGACAGCCACAACGUAAAAAUAACUCAGCCCUAUCUUUACUAUAACUCAGCCGCAUCUAACAUUAUAGUAACCCAGACGUAUUGUACGAAUAUGUCAGCCGCUACAUUUGAUAUUACUCAGCCGUAUCGUUAAAAUAACUUAGCCACAACAAAUUAAUAACCUUUAUACCAAACUGCUUAGUGAUAGCUAUUUCGACGCUCGUAGGGCGAACAGCCAGACCAACGUCGCCGAGAAAGUUCUUGUACAACUCUCCUAAAAUAUAUGGUGUUGCUUGUCGAGAUCGAUUAGAACGCUCCGUGCAGGAACAUGUAUGCUUCGAAUCAUAAAUACGAACAUAAAACGCCGGAGAUUCUCCUUGGGUAGAAGCACGAACUCUCCAUAGACAUCCAUCAACCCAGCACUUAACAACGUAUGAUGUCGGGGUUGAUGUUUCUACAUCAAAAUUAAAUUGAUGCCUCACUGUAAGAAGUUUCAGUCGUCUCUCCAAAUCGUCUUUACUCUCGUAUCGUUGACCUACCGCAAUGUCUAUCGACGACAUCUCCAACCUUAGAACCUCCAGAUUCCCUUUAGAUCUGCUCAUCGAGAAGUUCAGAUAUCUUUUUUAGGAGGUAGCGCUGGUGAAUCUUUGUUUUUCGUAGGAGACUCACCGUAUGAGCUGAAGUUAUCAUCUUCAGAUGACGCACCGUCCGAAUCGUCGAACAUAUCAAAUCGGCUUUCAAAUUCAUCAUCUUCUUCGUUUUCUUUUCCUAUUUCAUCUUCUCCGACUACGUCGUGUUUUUCUCCUUCCACAUUACUAGAGAAGUCAUUCUCAUUGUCCUCUUGUUCCUUCUCCAAACUGCAACCAUUGUAACUCCCACUGUAAUUUUUCGUCUUUGGACUCAACUACUGAAGCUUCUAUUUCUGAGCUAAAGCUGAAAAAUGUUUUACUCUUCUCUCUUGCUCUGUUCUUCGUAAUCUCCACACAGAGACGUAGUUGUUCGAUUAUAUUUAGGCUUAGAAAACCUUGCAAUUGUCGAAUAUUGGACACGUAAACUGGUGGAGUAUCGUGCGCCAUUGUUUUCAAUGCAAUAUUCGAGAACAUGUAGCUAAGCUGAAUAUGAUCCCUCAAAUCAUUCAUUCCGUAAUCAUCGAGAACAGUCUUUGCGAAAUCUUCAUGUGUUGUUUUCUCAUCUAAAUGAAGAACUCUACACCCUCUUCUGUCAAUGUUGAAUACAUAUCCGUUUUUCUUAAUCCAGUUACCGGAAACAAUAACUACCGGAUCCAUAACCAACUGAGAAAGAUGAAAACGAUAGAUAAAAAACAUGCAGAAGAACAUGAACAGACUCAUAACCCAAGUUGUAAAUUUCGUUUGUUAGUGAUGACAUGGCAAAUCCGAGUUGAUGACAUGGCGGAUUCCUUGUUCGUAUCUUAGAUUUUUCACCCGAAAUUGCUCCACAACGAUAAAACCUUCUUCCCGGAUUGCAUGCGGUAUUUGACGUUAACACAACAGUAGCAGCUCAACAGUCGCACCUCCCUGGGAUUCCACGCCCUAGAUCCAUCGAAUUCUACUUCACAACACACAAAAAUGAUUGAAACUAUUCCAAGGCAAAACACACAAAAUGAUCAGGUAUAACAAAAACAGUAUAUGAUCUCGGAUUUGACAAAAGAGACUUAUAGUUAAUCCUCUCUUCUGAAGAACCCUAAUUUUCAAAUUUGGGGGUUUUUGGAACGAGCCUCACGAUUUUAACUUUUGUGAGCUAACAUGUCGAUGUUUUCUCUUUAAACGAAAUGGAGCGUUUUGAUGAAGAAUAUAGAUUGAUCGAUAAAGAAGAUAAAGAAAAAGAUGAACACACACAAGCAUAGUUGUAAAGUAGUUCGUUAGCAGUGACAUGGCAAAUCUGAGUUGAUGACAUGGCGGAUGACAUGGAAAAUCAGUUAAUCAGCCGGCAAACUAAUAUAUAAUUCAGCCUACGUAAAUCAGCCCUCGUGUACAAUGUAAGUCAGCCAAACCGGGGUAGAGUUCAGUAUUUAAUCUUUUGAUCCGAAAUCAGCCGUAACCAUAAAUCAGCCAUAUCGUCACAUAAAUCAGCCAUCAAACGAAUGCUAUUCUAGUAGUUAAUCUUUCGCUAAAAAGUCAGCCGUAAAGAAGCUGAGUUUAAUGUUAAUCCAUCCUAUUACGGCUGAUUAAACAUAAACUCAGCCGUAACAACAUCCCAUUAGUCAGCUGUAAACUAAAUAACUCAGCUAGUCGAUAUUCGUUAACCCAGCUGUGGAAACAUAACUCUGUCGUGUCUUAACUACAACUCAGCCGAAUAUUUCAGCAAUCAAACCGCCGAUAUAUAAGUCAACCGUAACUUGUAUCUGUAAGUCAGCCGUUAUCCCAUAAAUCAGCCACAUUUCUGUAAAUCAGCCGUACCGGGCGGCUGACUUAUGUUCUUAAAUCAGUCGUUUCCUCUUAAGUCAGCCAUGUUUAUUAAUUCAGCGGACACGUAGAAAUAAAUCAGCUGUAACUAUGUAUGUAGUGAUUUACGGCUGACUUAAUGUAAACACAGAACCGAUUUUUGCUUACAUGGCAGUAAAAAGUAAUGGCAUUCUUGUAAAUACGUUUUUUCUGAUCGUAAAAAAAAGGGCACUCUUGGUAUUUAAAAAAUGCCAGUAAUAAAAAAAGAUCUGUAUAGUUCUAGUCAAUUGUCCUAAAAUAUUGUAUAUUUGAGUAAACUUCCCUAAAAAUAAAAACAUAGUAAGUAGUAGUGAUACUCUUGUGAUCUGAUGAACCCUUAUGAUCUGAUGAGUCCAAUUUAUAUUUCUUGCCAAUCACCAUAUUGAGAACUUGGUUUAAAAAUAUUAAUCUCCAUAUAACGCCUAGGUUAUUAAACCCAAAUAAUUUCCCUAAUCUCCAUAAAGCUCCCCUCACGACACUUCUCUGUAUCCUAAGUAGCCCAAACCAUGGUUUCACAAUGCUUUCCCAUUCCUGCCAACUAAGUACAAGGACGUAUACACGUUCAAAUAAUGAACCACAAUCCAAGCUUUGUUUACAUUUAUCUCCUCCAUCAAAUGUUCAUAAACUAAAGACACUAUAAGACAACAAAUGAAAUUUGAGAUAUAUAUAACCCACCCAAGCGUUCCCAUGCUUCCUUGCUAAAGUCAUAGUGCCAUCACCAAGAUAUGAUAUAAGAACCUUUAAAAAGCCGGAGCACCAUGAAACCAAAAUAACAAUUUUAUUCCAAUGCUUAAUAGAACACCAAAGAGACAAUGUAAGAACUACCUCCCUUAUACUCUUAGAACCACAUAAAACACCAAUUCUCAUAAAGCUUAUUGUAAUAAAUGAAACCCCCCCCCCCCCCCCCCCCAGUUCCUGCUUGCUUAAUCUUGCUGCGAGUAAGACUUGAUCCAUAAACUUAGAAUUUUAAGUUAUCCAAGAUUAGUCUACUCACUAAUAGACAUGAAUAACCCCAAAACCAUGGAUGAUUCAAGGUUAAACAUGAUUAGAGAACAAGAUAAUCAAGCAAAGAUAAGAAAUUAUGAUCAAGAUUAGAUCUUUCACCCAAAAGUGGCUUUUGAUUAGAUAGAAAACAAGAUAAGAUCCUAACUUUAGGAUUACAAGAGUAUUUAUAUGUCUUUGGAAAACCUAAUGGUUUCCAUUAAAAAGUCUAAAAAGCCCUUUUAAAACAUUAAAAUUCGACUAAGAUAAAGAAUGCUCGGAGCGGGUGCAUGACCUCGCUCCCGUAGGUCGCUCCAAAGAUCACCUCCACUUCUUCAAAUCGCGCGCGGGGUCAUGGCCUCGCUGCACCAGGUCGCUCCACAUAUGGAGCGGGUUAGUCACCCCGUUGCGAGACGUCGCUCCACAUCUGGAAAGUUGUCGACGACAUGUUGAGCUCGGAGCGGGUGCACUACCCCGGUGCGAGAGGUCGCUCUAGUACAGAGCGAGUGUCAUACCUCGCUCCCGUGGGUCGCUCUACACUUUACUUAUCCAGAGCGGGUGCAUGACCUCGCUCCAGUAGGUCGCUCCAGCUCCUCUAUUCACCCAAUGAUCCUUUUCUACUUCUUUUUUGAAUCACAAUGCUCCCAAACAUCUCCAAUCACUCCAUAGCACUCUCCAACACCUAAUAAGGACAAUGCAUGCAACAUAGACUCUAAAGAUGCUUAAUUCCUAAUCUAUAUGAUCAAAAUGUACAAGAUAUGAAGGCUAAAAACAUGUAAACAUGCAAGAUAUCAGAGCCCCCCGUCUGAAAGUAGGCCUCUCUUGAAGGCAGAGAUUGCAAUAGGGAUGCUGCAUUCAGGGAACCCGAAAUUAAGCUAUAAAGGGAAACGAUAGGUUCCUGACCCUGAGGUCUUGUUUUAGACUCAUGGUCCUUGGACCCUGAGGUCCUUUUAACCCGUAGGUUCUUGGCCCUAAAGCUUAUCUGAGCCUGGAGUUCUUUCUCAGAACCCGGAAUUAAGUUUUAAAGGGACCGCAUUCUACCACCCUAGGUGUGGCCACUCUCGGUACAUGUUGGGUAUCGCUUUCUACCGCUCGUGGCUGGUCACUAUCGAGUUCCCGUGCUGCACUCUGCUUUCUGCAGAAAGCCACUAUUAGUCUUAGAGGGUGCUGGUGUGGGUGAAAACCCAAAUGCCAAACUUACGCUGUUUUCCACGUCAGGAGAAACAUGAUAUUAUUAAGGUGCUCCCGGACUUUUGCACUUUCUCAGUGGCAAUUAUACCUCGUGUCCCCUGUAUUAAUUUAGCACGUAGCGUUUUAAUACAGGUACCUUUCACUUUUUUGGUAUUUUAGUUUGGGACCCCGAUAUGCCUGAGGCUAUACAGGGGUUUUAGGUAGUAUUGACGGCAUACUCGGGCUUGCGCAGACCCAUUCCUACCUUAUGUCUCAUACCCAUUUUGUUUUUGUGUGGUCGUGCCACUUAUCGUUGAGGGUUGGCCAGGAUCGGAGGUCUCUUUGACAUGAUCCAGCUCGUUUGCCCCUUUAAGUAUUAUGGUAUUUGUACUUUCUCUUAUAGUCGGAACUAUUUUAUUAUAUAGGCUAUGUCUGUAGACUUUCAGCGUACAUAUGAGUAGAAAAACAUAAUGCUUAAAUAAAAGAUAUAAUAAUCCCUUAUAUAUUAAUUGAGAAUCAUUUAAAAAGAUGUAACCUUAAUUUUGUAUUAAUUACAUUUUAGACUUGCUGAGGUGGCGUUUAAUUAGAACUUAAUUUUACUGAUGUGGCAUGACUAGAAUCGAUUGAAAAAGUAGUUAGUCCAAUUUCAAUUUGCUAGGGAACGUCGUAUUAAUUCAUACAUCAAGUUAGGAAGACUUUUGUUAUAUGAUUAACACCUUACUAUAAACAAAGUCUAAAAAAGUAUUAACAAAGAGAGAGACGCAUUAGGUUUCCGAGAGGGAGUUGCGGCGGAGAAUGAAUGCAGUGAAUUAGAGAGGCGAUGUGGUGGGCAGAGAGAAAGGCAGUUGAGGAAAGAGAGGGAGACGAGAGAUGUGGAGAGAGAGUUCUGAAUGUUGUGGAGAUGGAGAGAGCAGAGGAGCGGUUUGUGAAGGAGAUGGAGGUGACGAGGCGGAACUCGGAGCCGGCGUCACAGGUUAUGACGGUGGUAGGGGUUUGGAGGAGGGACGGUGGUCGCAGGGGACGGUGGGGAUGUUGAGAGAUUUGAGGGCCUUGACAUGUUGUGGCCUGUGGGUCUAAUGGAGGUGCGAGGAGUGGGAGAGGUGCAUGUAAAGGGAGAGAUGGUUGGGGAGAGGGAAGGAUCAUUUGUAUUGAUGCUCGAUGUGCAAGCUUGAUCUUUGUUUGUGGGAUUGCUAAUCACUUGGUAAAUCUUUUUUUUUUUUAAGCUAAGAAUCAAGAUCUUCCAUGCUUUUCGAUAUAUGUUCAAACUGUUGAAACGAUUUGGGAAAAUAUUAACUUGCUUAUGAAUAUUUAUCUGUAUUUUGAGUGUCCGUAGAAUGCACCAUAUUUGUGUAAAAAAAAUUAGAUUGUGCUGAACAGUCCUCAUGUAUGUGUAUGAAUGUUGAUAUGUGUUUUGUCAAAGGCAUAAGCUUUGAAUCCAUUAGACAGAGUUAUGCAUUUUUUUGUGUUUGUAGGUAAAAGAGUCACAUUCUCUAUAAAAAAGAUGGACUUGGUAGCAGCAGUAGUAACUAUGAACUUUGAAAAGUAAUUCUAUCAAGCUCAUAAUACUCAGGACUUAGAAGCAGCAGUAACUCCCGGAGGUAUAUCUUUGUCUUGUGGCUACACUCAUCAGCGAUGUUUUGGAUAUUUUGCUUUUGGAAAAAUGAACCAUUCAGUCUCCAAGCUAUUUUCGAAGAGGUCAUCUCUCUCCUAAAGCUAAUCUCAUCGGUGAAGAAACUAUCGACGAAUCUGAUCUUUUCUGCACCGGUUAAUUGACAUAAUUAAAAUAUCUGUACCGGUUAGUGGACAUAAUUAAAGUUCUAAAUCUAAAAGUAUGUGAUGUGAAAAAGAUAUAAAAUAUGUGAUUUUUUCAUAUAAAGUUACAACAUUUAAUAUUAAUUCUUGCUAUGUGGGACUUUGUAAACGUGAGAACGUACAUUUAUAUAAUGGAAUUUUUUUUAAUUCAGAA